rnacentral:tRNA from 1 species
GAGCAAGAAACUAAGAGUGUUAUGGUUUCGGCCCAUAAACGUGGUUACUUAUUCGUACCCUUGUUCU